GACGAACGCUGGCGGCGUGCUUAACACAUGCAAGUCGAACGGAAAGGCCCUGCUUUUGUGGGGUGCUCGAGUGGCGAACGGGUGAGUAACACGUGAGUAACCUGCCCUUGACUUUGGGAUAACUUCAGGAAACUGGGGCUAAUACCGGAUAGGAGCUCCUGCUGCAUGGUGGGGGUUGGAAAGUUUCGGCGGUUGGGGAUGGACUCGCGGCUUAUCAGCUUGUUGGUGGGGUAGUGGCUUACCAAGGCUUUGACAGGUAGCCGGCCUGGGAGGGUGACCGGCCACAUUGGGACUGAGAUACGGCCCAGACUCCUACGGGAGGCAGAAGUGGGGAAUAUUGCACAAUGGGCGGAAGCCUGAUGCAGCAACGCCGCGUGCGGGAUGACGGCCUUCGGGUUGUAAACCGCUUUCGCCUGUGACGAAGCGUGAGUGACGGUAAUGGGUAAAGAAGCACCGGCUAACUACGUG
rnacentral:rRNA from 1 species